AACGCGAAGAACCUUACCCAGGUUUGACAUGCAUAGGAAUAUAUCAGAGAUGGUAUAGCCUUUCGGGGCCUAUGCACAGGUGCUGCAUGGCUGUCGUCAGCUCGUGCCGUGAGGUGUUGGGUUAAGUCCCGCAACGAGCGCAACCCUUAUCAUUAGUUGCCAGCGCGUAAAGGUGGGAACUCUAAUGAGACUGCCCGGGUUAACCGGGAGGAAGGUGAGGAUGACGUCAAGUCCGCAUGGCCCUUAUGUCUGGGGCUACACACGUGCUACAAUGGUCGGUACAGAAGGCAGCGAAGCUGUGAAGUGGAGCAAAUCCCUAAAGCCGACCUCAGUUCAGAUUGUAGUCUGCAACUCGACUACAUGAAGAUGGAAUUGCUAGUAAUGGCGUGUCAGCAACAACGCCGUGAAUACGUUCCCGGGCCUUGUACACACCGAGUAUA
rnacentral:rRNA from 1 species